rnacentral:rRNA from 1 species
GAUGAACGCUAGCGGCAGGCUUAACACAUGCAAGUCGAGGGGUAUAGGUUUUCGGACCUAGAGACCGGCGCACGGGUGCGUAACGCGUAUGCAAUCUACCUUUUACAGAGGGAUAGCCCAGAGAAAUUUGGAUUAAUACCUCAUAGUAUUAUUGAAUGGCAUCAUUUAAUAAUUAAAGUCACAACGGUAAAAGAUGAGCAUGCGUCCCAUUAGCUAGUUGGUAAGGUAACGGCUUACCAAGGCAACGAUGGGUAGGGGUCCUGAGAGGGAGAUCCCCCACACUGGUACUGAGACACGGACCAGACUCCUACGGGAGGCAGCAGUGAGGAAUAUUGGUCAAUGGGCGCAAGCCUGAACCAGCCAUGCCGCGUGCAGGAUGACGGUCCUAUGGAUUGUAAACUGCUUUUGUACAGGAAGAAACAGUUCUACGUGUAGAACCUUGACGGU